GCCCUUAGAGUUUGAUCCUGGCUCAGGAUGAACGCUGGCGGUAUGCUUUACACAUGCAAGUCGUACGAGAGUUUUUAACUCAAGUGGCGGACGGGUGAGUAACACGUAAGAAUUUGCCUUUAGGAGGGGGAUAACAACUGGAAACGGUUGCUAAUACCCCCAUAUGCUUUCGAGUAAAAUGGAUUUUCCGCCUAAAGAGAAGCUUGCGGCUGAUUAGCUUGUUGGUGAGGUAAUGGCUCACCAAGGCGACGAUCAGUAUCUGGUUUGAGAGGACGAUCAGACACACUGGAACUGAGACACGGUCCAGACUCCUACGGGAGGCAGCAGUGGGGAAUUUUCCGCAAUGGGCGAAAGCCUGACGGAGCAAUACCGCGUGAGGGAUGACGGCCUAUGGGUUGUAAACCUCUUUUUUCAGGGAGGAAUCAAUGACGUGUACCUGAAGAAUAAGCAUCGGCUAACUCCGUGCCAGCAGCCGCGGUAAGACGGAGGAUGCAAGUGUUAUCCGGAAUCACUGGGCGUAAAGCGUCUGUAGGUGGUCAAAUAAGUCAACUGUUAAAUCUUGAGGCUCAACCUCAAAAUCGCAGUCGAAACUAUUCGACUAGAGUAUAGUAGGGGUAAAGGGAAUUUCCAGUGGAGCGGUGAAAUGCGUAGAGAUUGGAAAGAACACCGAUGGCGAAGGCACUUUACUGGGCUAUUACUAACACUGAGAGACGAAAGCUAGGGUAGCAAAUGGGAUUAGAUACCCCAGUAGUCCUAGCCGUAAACAAUGGAUACUAGAUGUUGAACAGAUCGACCUGUGCAGUAUCAAAGCUAACGCGUUAAGUAUCCCGCCUGGGAAGUAUGCUCGCAAGAGUGAAACUCAAAUGAAUUGACGGGGAAGGGC
rnacentral:rRNA from 1 species